UUGGAGGGCAAGUCUGGUGCCAGCAGCCGCGGUAAUUCCAGCUCCAAUAGCGUAUAUUAAAGUUGUUGCAGUUAAAAAGCUCGUAGUUGAAUUUCGGGAUCAAUAUGUCGGUCGUGCCUCGGUACGUACUGGCGUAAUUGGUUCUCCCUUCUGAAGAACCGCGAUGUCAUUAAUUUGGUGUCGUGGGGAAUCAGGACUGUUACUUUGAAAAAAUUAGAGUGUUUAAAGCAGGCUCGCGCUUGAAUACAUUAGCAUGGAAUAAUGAAAUAGGACGUUUGAUUCUAUUUUGUUGGUUUCUAGGAUCGACGUAAUGAUUAAUAGGGAUAGUUGGGGGCAUUAGUAUUCAAUUGUCAGAGGUGAAAUUCUUGGAUUUAUUGAAGACUAACUACUGCGAAAGCAUUUGCCAAGGAUGUUUUCAUUAAUCAAGAACGAAAGUUAGGGGAUCGAAGACGAUCAGAUACCGUCGUAGUCUUAACCAUAAACUAUGCCGACUAGGGAUCGGAUGAUGUUGAUUUUUUAAUGACUCAUUCGGCACCUUACGGGAAAA
rnacentral:rRNA from 1 species